rnacentral:tRNA from 2 species
CGGGGUGUAGCGCAGUUGGUAGCGUACUUGACUGGGGGUCAAGGGGUCGCAAGUUCAAGUCUUGUCACUCCGA